rnacentral:rRNA from 1 species
UACGUAGGGCGCAAGCGUUGUCCGGAAUUAUUGGGCGUAAAGAGCUCGUAGGUGGUCUGUCGCGUCUGCCGUGAAAACCCGAGGCUUAACCUCGUGGCUUGCGGUGGAUACGGGCAGACUAGAGGUAGGUAGGGGAGAAUGGAAUUCCCGGUGUAGCGGUGAAAUGCGCAGAUAUCGGGAGGAACACCGGUGGCGAAGGCGGUUCUCUGGGCCUUACCUGACGCUGAGGAGCGAAAGCGUGGGGAGCGAACAGG